CUGGGACAAUCUUUCUUUGCUUCGCAAAAAGCUCAAAGCUGGUCUAAUGUUUAAGACGCUAAAAGGAAAUAUGCCUUCUUACGUCCAAGAUAUGUUUUCUUUUCGUGGCACUGGGUACAAUAUAAGAAAUUCCGAAAUAUGGUUAAAUUUGCCAAAGCCACGAACGAAUUGCCUAAAACGAAGCUUUUGCUAUAGUGGGGCAGUUCUUUGGAAUAGUCUUUCCCAAGAUACAAGAAAACUACAAUCAUUUGCCCAAUUUAGGAAAGCAAUAGCGGAAUAUUAUUAAUAGUAACUAGUAAUUUACCGGACUUCCACACGGCAAUCUUGUUUAUAUUUAUUUAAUUUAUCAUACUUACCAUUUGUAAACUGAAGAUUUUUACCGUGUUUAAACAAAAUUGUACUGUGCUGUACUGUGCUGUGCUGUGCUGUGCUGUACUGUACUUAGCAGGGAGUGUGUGAAAAUGGUGAUGUUUGCGGCAUUUUAAACGUUGAUAUUGACCCCUAAAAAUGUACAAAUGAGGCUUCAAAUCCUCAACAGUCGUUUCAUUUUGAUAAAGAAGUCUUCCUAGAAGUAGUAAGAAAAUAUAGAUGAAACUCUCCUUUUUGUUGCUUUCUGCAUACAUACGGCGAAUCCAAAAUCGUUUCUUGUACUUUAAACGUCGUUUUUGGCGUAGUUGAAGAAACAACAAUCUUAAUAGGUUAUUUCGUAACAACAAAAGUCUUCUACGAUUCAAUGCCGCCAUUUUGUUUUAAAUUUGAUUAUUUGCGCGAUUUUCCUAUUCCUCUAUUUUUCGAUUGCUCGUGGAAAUCAAACCACCUUUUGCGCGACAAUUUUCGCAGGAAAAAACACGCUUCUCGAGAAAAUAUUCGCACGUGGAAAACCGGCUUAAAGCAAAUAUAUAUAGCGCCAAAGCGCCUGGGACCAAGGCGUGCGCGUGCAAUCGCAUGCUACGCACGCUAUCCUAUCC